AAAAAAUAAGUUAAGGAACUAAAUGAUGUAUUAAGCCUUAAAUCAAAUAUUUUCCUUUUCAACACUGCCAUUUGGUUUCUACCGUCAAAAUCUCUAUAUAUGAAGACAACUAUGGGGAAUUGAUAUUCAAGAAGCAACCAAAACACUCACAACAAUUCUUUAAAGACUACAUCUUCUUCAACGCAUGACUUCUCAAUUAUCAGAGCCUUUAGAGUCAACAUCCACCCCCUAGAGCCCCUUCUAUUAAAGAAGUCAUUUGGCAUCCUCCAAUCCUUGGAUGGGUGAAACGUAACACCGAUGAUGCUUGCCUUGGGAAUCCUAAAAUUUUAGCUCGUGGGGUCAUUUGUAGAGACAAUAAUGUAGACUGUCUGGGUUGCUUUGCUAAGAAGUUAUCUGUUGGAUAAAAUUUUACUACAUAACUUGAAGGAGCAUGAAGGCCAUAAAGGUAGCAAAUUCCAAAGGUUUCUCAAACCUUUGGAUAUAAUAUGAUUCCAGUUAGUUGUUCUUGCCUUCAAAUCAAAAUCUAUAGUUCCUUGAAACAUUAGCAAACACUGGAGGAAUGUUUUGGCUUUAUGUAGAAAUGUAAAUGUGAUUAUCUUUUAUAUUUAUAGAGAAGGUAAUAGUUGUGCA